AGCGAACGCUGGCGGCAGGCCUAACACAUGCAAGUCGAACGGACCCUUCGGGGUUAGUGGCGGACGGGUGAGUAACACGUGGGAACGUGCCUUUAGGUUCGGAAUAGCUCCUGGAAACGGGUGGUAAUGCCGAAUGUGCCCUCCGGGGGAAAGAUUUAUCGCCUUUAGAGCGGCCCGCGGCUGAUUAGCUAGUCGGUGAGGUAAUGGCUCACCAAGGCGACGAUCAGUAGCUGGUCUGGGAGGAUGACCAGCCACACUGGGACUGAGACACGGCCCAGACUCCUACGGGAGGCAGCAGUGGGGAAUCUUGCGCAAUGGGCGAAAGCCUGACGCAGCCAUGCCGCGUGAAUGAUGAAGGUCUUAGGAUUGUAAAAUUCUUUCACCGGGGACGAUAAUGACGGUACCCGGAGAAGAAGCCCCGGCUAACUUCGUGCCAGCCGCCGCGGUAA
rnacentral:rRNA from 1 species